rnacentral:rRNA from 1 species
UACAGGGUGACAGCCCCGUACACAAAAAUGCACAUGCUGUGAGCUCGAUGAGUAGGGCGGGACACGUGGUAUCCUGUCUGAAUAUGGGGGGACCAUCCUCCAAGGCUAAAUACUCCUGACUGACCGAUAGUGAACCAGUACCGUGAGGGAAAGGCGAAAAGAACCCCGGCGAGGGGAGUGAAAAAGAACCUGAAACCGUGUACGUACAAGCAGUGGGAGCACGCUUAGGCGUGUGACUGCGUACCUUUUGUAUAAUGGGUCAGCGACUUAUAUUCUGUAGCAAGGUUAACCGAAUAGGGGAGCCGAAGGGAAACCGAGUCUUAACUGGGCGUUAAG